CUCCCAGUGGCCAAGCUGGCUAAGGCGCGAGACUGUAAUGUUUCACUUUGAACAAAAGUAAUCUUGAGAUCGGGUGUUCGACUCACCCCUGGGAGA
rnacentral:tRNA from 1 species